ACGGGAGGUAGCAGUGGGGGAUAUUGCACAAUGGGGGAAACCCUGAUGCAGCGACGCCGCGUGAGUGAAUAAGUAUUUCGGUAUGUAAAGCUCUAUCAGCAGGAAAGAUAAUGACGGUACCUGACUAAGAAGCACCGGCUAAAUACGUGCCAGCAGCCGCGGUAAUACGUAUGGUGCAAGCGUUAUCCGGAUUUACUGGGUGUAAAGGGAGCGCAGACGGCAUGGCAAGCCAGAUGUGAAAGGCAGGGGCUCAACUCCUGGACUGCAUUUGAAACUGUCAAGCUAGAGUAUCGGAGAGGUAAGUGGAAUUCCUAGUGUAGCGGUGAAAUGCGUAGAUAUUAGGAGGAACACCAGUGGCGAAGGCGGCUUACUGGACGAUAACUGACGUUGAGGCUCGAAAGCGUGGGGAGCAAACAGGAUUAGAUACCCUGGUA
rnacentral:rRNA from 1 species